AUCUAGCUGAUGAGUCUCAACUAGGACGAAACACUCGUCCUAGAU
rnacentral:hammerhead_ribozyme from 1 species